rnacentral:rRNA from 1 species
UGGGGAAUAUUGCACAAUGGGCGAAAGCCUGAUGCAGCAACGCCGCGUGCGGGAUGACGGCCUUCGGGUUGUAAACCGCUUUCAGCAGGGACGAAGGUUUUCUGACGGUACCUGCAGAAGAAGCACCGGCUAACUACGUGCCAGCAGCCGCGGUGAUACGUAGGGUGCGAGCGUUGUCCGGAAUUAUUGGGCGUAAAGAGCUUGUAGGCGGUCCGUUGCGUCGGAAGUGAAAACUCAGGGCUUAACCCUGAGCCUGCUUUCGAUACGGGCGGACUUGAGGGAUGUAGGGGAGAACGGAAUUCCUGGUGGAGCGGUGGAAUGCGCAGAUAUCAGGAGGAACACCAGUGGCGAAGGCGGUUCUCUGGACAUUUCCUGACGCUGAGAAGCGAAAGCGUGGGGAGCAAACAGGCUUAGAUACCCUGGUAGUCCACGCCGUAAACGGUGGGCACUAGGUGUGGGACCCAUUCCACGGGUUCCGUGCCGUAGCUAACGCAUUAAGUGCCCCGCCUGGGGAGUACGGCCGCAAGGCUAAAACUCAAA